CAGCCGCCGCGGUAAUACGUAGGUGGCGAGCGUUGUCCGGAAUUAUUGGGCGUAAAGGGAGCGCAGGCGGACAUAUAAGUCCAUCUUAAAAGUGCGGGGCUCAACCCCGUGAUGGGAUGGAAACUAGUAGGCUAGAGUAUCGGAGAGGAAAGCGGAAUUCCUAGUGUAGCGGUGAAAUGCGUAGAUAUUAGGAAGAACACCAGUGGCGAAGGCGGCUUUCUGGACGAAAACUGACGCUGAGGCGCGAAAGCCAGGGGAGCGAACGGGAUUAGAUACCCCUGUAGUCCCUGUCUCUUAUACA
rnacentral:rRNA from 1 species